CCGCCGCCACCAUGUUUGCCAUCUAACGCCGCCACCCCAAGCAUGUUCCUCCCGUGGAUCCACCGCGAGCUAGAUCCUCCGCCAGCCCACUCCCUCCCUUCUCCACCAGCCCUCCGCCGAUGGUGACGCGGGAAACCCCGAGCGGCGGCUUCCCUGGAGGAGGCCGUGGUGAGUGCUUCCGGCACCGACCGUCCGUGAGUGCCGGCGGCCAUCCGCGUUUCUCCUCGAUUGGGCCAGUGCCACGACGACUAGACGGCGCGGCCGGCGAUGGAGUAGUUCGCCGGCUUCCACUCCUCUACUAUUUUGGCACCUCCCCCUUGUGUGUCGUCUCCAACCGGUGGCGUCGUGGCCCUACUUCGCUGAGAUCCACAUCGUUGUGGUCCUAUUUUGUCUGGAACAAUCCAACCACUCGUGUUGAGACCAGCUUCCUCGACGUCGGCGCCACCGUCUCCGACAGCCACUAGAUGCGUGCGUCGACCUGAUUCCCGAUUGCCUCUUUGUCCUCUAUCCUCAACGGCUGUCCUACUAUUUCCUCUCAUCUCGUUUGCGUUUUAUUCUUGCAUAUCUUGAUCGGGUGAGACUGAUGGGAAUCAUUCGCAAGUGGUGGCGCUGGAGCCACCUCCCUCCGCCGCCAGCAGAUCAUCUCCAACAUGGAGCGCAGAGAAUGCAAUAGGCUGACCUGCUAGCGCUACUCAUGGACCAGAUCUUUAACUAAAGCUCGAUCCACCGCAUUGACAAGAAGUUCCUCGUUAGGGACCCAGUGUGCGCACGCCUCUUUUACAGAAGCUCUAGUCAUAUGACAUUUGAAGAAGCCAGCAAGAAGUAGCUUCUUAUAUAUAUUGUAAUAAUAGGCAUACAUAUUGUAAUUUUCAAAUUUCACUGUUAUUUGAAGAAUUUCAUGCGUUCCCAGUUCUGUUUGAUAUAUUGAUUAUCUGUUAUUUGAAACUGUGAAUUGUAACUCCUGGGACCCACUUCUGAAA